rnacentral:tRNA from 1 species
GCCGCUGUAGCUCAGUUGGUAGAGCAGCUGUCUUGUAAACAGCAGGUCGCGGGUUCGACUCCUGUCAGCGGCU